rnacentral:sRNA from 12 species
AAUGACGGAAAACCUAGCAAGUUUUCCAUGUAGCCGCCAUGGCAUGUCAAGAUGUAGCCGGAGUACCGGAUGACCAUCCCGUAAGCUUGACAGUAAGCCCCGAGA